rnacentral:lncRNA from 1 species
UGUCUCACGGGUGCGUUGGAGGGCACGAUGCCUGUCAUCCUGCAGGGUUUUGCGGGAACGAGGACCAUCCUGUCUAAGGCACCCGCCAACGUCCCCGAGGCAUGGCCUAAGCGCUCAGGAAUUACUACGUGUCAGUACGUGUCUCAUUUCUUCCAGAAGCCAUGGGGUCGCUGCUGAGCCUGUGUUUCACUGCUCUCUGCCCCCCUCCUCCACCCCCCACCCACCCCGUUCUGAGGGCUCCUCAUCAAACCAAGUGGAUGUUUGUGGGGUCAGCUGGUAGACCUGCCUUUGCAGGAGACGGCUGUCCUCCCACUUCUCUUGGCCUUCAGCAGGGGCGUCCUCCUUCCCUCCCUGCAAAGCCUGCAGCCCACCAUCCUGGGGAGUUUGCCCCACAGCAGGUGCGCUCCACCUGGCCCACAGCCCUCAAUCCCAUCAAAGUUGAAAUCACCAGUAUUGUCACUGUGUGAAUGUCCCAGGCAGUGACAGUAGACGCUUAGGAAGCCUGGCCAGGCCCCGACAGGGGGAAUGUUCCUGCUCUUUGGGAAAAACUUGUUAGCAGAGAACGUUUUCCAACAUUGGAACCUCCGGGAGCUCCCGUCGUGGCGCAGUUGUUAACGAAUCCGACUAGGAACCAUGAGGUUGCAGGUUCGAUCCCUGGCUUUCUCACUGGGUUAAGGAUCCAGCGUUGCUGUGAGCUGUGGUGUAGGCCGGUGGCUACAGCUCCGAUUAGACCCCUAGCCUGGGAACCAACAUAUGCUGUGGGAGCAGCCCUGGAAAAGGUGAAAAGACAAAAAAAAGAAAAAAAAAAAAGAAAAAACAACAAAAUUGGAACCACCGAGUCCCAGCCUCUUGUCUGUAACUUUUGAGGCCAGAUAUGUGGUUCUAAAUUUUUCCAAAUUCAGGAAGGUAAUGUUAGUACAUAGGUUGGCAAACUGAUAGCCCAGGACUGAAUCUGGUGUGAGGAUUAAUUUUGUAAAUAAAGUUUUAUUGGUACACAGCUGCACCCAUUUGUUUAGAUACUGUCCAUGGCUGCUUUUGGCUGCACUGGCACAGCUGAGCGCUCAGAGACCACAUGCCCACAAAGCGUGCAAUAGUUAUUAUCUGGCUCUAGACCCCUGGGGGCAGCACCUUGUAAUUAAAGACAUUACUGUCUCUGCAUCCAAAUGAAUGGAUAUUCACUCUCAGAAAGAUAAAUGACUGCGGAGUCAGCUCUAGACAGCUUUUGCUCCCCAGUGGUUACUGAAGGAACUUACUGUGUUCAGAACCCUUUGGGUUUCAUAGCGUCCUUUCCAGCUUGGACACUGUGGGUAGAUACACAAGGCAGCGGGAGGGGAGCAGAAGCGCUGGCUUCAUUGUAUGUGUGCUCGUUUGGUAAAGUCAUGCUUGUCAUCUUCAGCACACUCCGUGCUCUGUGUCCGGAUGGCUACCUUCCAGCCUGGGGCCCCCCAGCCAUCCCUGUACCCUGCUGGGGAGGAGGUGGCUGACCCUCAGGGCCAGCACAGAAACACCCUCCUGGUGUCUGUGUGUCCCGCUGGGUGUGCUUCCACAUUGGCUCUGAAGCUGAGCCUGGGCAGCUGACCUGUCCGUGCCAGUGUCUUCACUUCAGGGAAGUACAUGACUCUUUGUGCCAAAGGGGAUGGAAUGCAUGGCAGAUCCCCCUUGGUCCAGUUCCAGAGCCUUCUCCUAUUUGACACUGAGCCUGGGUCAGGCAGGGUCCUGGUCCUUACAGCAGGUUCUGCCUUUGAAGUGCUUCCCGUAUGCCCCAGAAACAGUGAUACAGUCGUCUCUUGUUGUGGUUACAUUUUUUGUCCACAUCCACAUUGGUGGCAUCAGAAGUUCUUGGGACAGGAAUCAAACCUGCACCAUAGCAGUGGCCCAAGCCACAGCAGUGACAGCGCCAGAUCCUUAACCACUAGGCCGCCAGGGAACUCUGGCAUAGGUGUCUUUUAAAUGCAUUCUUAGCUUUUUCUUCCCCAUACCUCUCUGUGAUAGGAUGCCGGGUUUAAUCAGUCCGCGGGUAUUUAGUGGUCCCUUACUGCCUCGUCUCUAUCUGGACUCCUCUGGACCCAUGUCAGCUUUUCCUUGACCCUGGGGCACUGAAAAGCCACCUCACUUUCCUCUUCUGCCAUCUCUAGUUAAUAAUGAGCCAUGUCAGACACACAGCUGAUGGCACACUCAUUAGCUAAUAGUGAGAGAUAAGUAAUAAAGAGUGUUACACCUUUCGCUUGCUGAAAUAUGAGCUCGAUGGAACUGGCUUCGCCAGGAAACAGCAGGUGAUUUUUUUUUAAAAAAGUUAUUUUUUAUUAAAGUAGCGUUGAUUUACAGUGUUGUGCCAGUUUCUGCUGUUCAGCAGAAUGACCCAGUCAUACAUAUAUACACACACACAUAUACGCAUUCUUUUUGCCAUAUUAUCUUCCAUCAUAUUCUAUCCCAAGAGACUGGCUCUAGAUCCCCGUACUGUACAGCAGGACCUCAUUGCUUCUCCGUCAGAAAUGUAAUAGUUUGCAUCUACCAACCUCACGCUCCCAGUCCAUCCCACUCCCUCCUCCUCUGUCUUGGCAACCACAAGUCUGUUCUCUGUGUCUGGGACUCAGAAGAAGUGAUUUUAAGUAGGUGUUGAGAAGGGAUGGUAGUUGAGAGGCUAAAGAGCAGUGGCCUAGGACUUGCCCUAAGAACCUGAGGACGGCCUGGAUUUGGACGCGCCAGGUAGCGCCUCCAGUCUGUUGGGGUGCUCCGUGUUUUACAGGCCGGUCGCACGUAGCCUUAUGUAGAAUGUUCUCUAUCAACCAGGAGAAACCAGGAGCUGGGGACUUUCAAGGCUCAAGCUCUGUCAUAAAGGGAGAGUAGCUGCCUGAUGGGCAGAGGUCCUUUUUGUCAAACACACAGCUUCUCAUCCCCUGUCAGCUGUAUCUGGCCGUAUUGUCCUCACAUUUGGCACAACAUUUUAAUAUUUAUCAGUGUGCCCCCUGCUUCCUGAUGCACUUGUCCUGCACAAGAAUUGAUUUUUAAGAAAUAUGUGGGUUUUUUUUGUUUUUUUUUUUUUCACACGCUUGGGUUGGCAAAAUACGUAUUUGUAGAGAAAUAAUCUUGAGUGAGCUUUUCUUGCAUGUGUGUCCACUUGAUAAAUGUCCUGCCUGCGAAGAUGUGUUUUGGGGUCUGGGUUUCCUCCUCAGUGUAUCCCUUCUUUCAUUGGUCAGGUCUGGGUCCCCAAGCCCUGCCUUUUGUUUGGGAGCAGUUUAUCUGCCCACUUUGUGGUUCUGUGUCUUGAAGCAUCUCACAGGAUUUUAGUUUUUUCUGUCUCGAUUUCAGAAUAAAAUCGUCCCCUUCGUGGUUGUUGAAAGGCCCCUUCUGAUGAAGGGGAAACGUGGGCACUCGACGCACUUGACCUCCCGCCUCUGCUCCCAGGCCCACCACAGUCCACACUUUGUCUUUGAAGGUGCCGGGUCUUAGUGGUUGGCGGGGGGGGGGGGGGCAGGUGGAGCACAGAAGCCAGAUGGUUUUAACUCACACCUGGGAAAGUGCCAGGGCGCUGAAAGAAACAUUGCAGUGAAUGGCGAGCAUCGGGCUGCCAAGCUCAGUGGGGUGCCACUUUGACAGGCCUGCCAUUCCGGGUAACCGAACAUUCCAGUUAACUGAGAGCCACACCGGCCCUUCCCCCACCCCAGUUCCUCCGUGUGUGAAGCCCCUGGGAAACCCGCUUCCCCGUCUCCCAGCCUCCUCCCAUCACCUCCCCUCCCCUUCUCUGUGUCUCCUUGCCUGAUGGCUCUUUCUCUCCACCAGGGCUGUGCUUGUAUUUUUUCAGCUUCAUUUUCAGCUUCUGCACACACAUUCCUGUUUCCUCCUGUGUGGUGUCCUCAGGCGUGGCAUUUAUUGGCCGGUGGGUCACAUUCAGUCAUUCGCUGUCCUGCUGGAACCGUGCGCUGUCUGGUCUCCCAGCCAGGUAGACAUGGGUUUGCCCUUGAGCCCGCCUGGGCCUCUCUCAAUGCCUCCUGCUCCUGGAGGUCCAAGGUCACUGGUGUACUGCUGGAAGGAGAGUUUCUGUGGCCUGGGCGUCAGCAGCUGAAGUUGAACUGUUCAUUUGAAGCGCAGCUGUAUUGUAUUUCCUAAUACCUGGGCAGCAGGUAGCUCCAGGAAAACCCUGGAAAAACAGGAUGAGAGCUUCUAUCUUUGUGUCCUCCACUCUCCUCUCCCCCUCCUCACAUUCAUAAAUGAAGGAACACUUCUUUCUUUCGCAUUGAACCCCUGUGGUUUCUUCUGUUUGGCGGACGAGUCCUCAGGUGGGCCAGUGAUUUCCCGCCUCCUGGAGUCCGCGUCCUGGUGUGACUCACCCCCCUUGAGUGUGGGCAGAACCUGUGAAUUUCUUAGAUGGAAAUGAUGGUGGGGUGUCACUUCCUCGAUUAGGCUCCACAAUGUGGCAAAGUGAAGGGACGCUGAAGAUAUCACUUAGGCCCCAAAUUAGUUGAUUUAAAGUGGAUUAGAAAGGAAAGCAUCCUGGGUGGGCCUCACUUCAGAGAAGCCGUUAAAAGCACGACUCAGGGAGUUCCCGUCAUGGCUCAGCGGAAACGCAUCUAACUAGCAUCCAUGAGGACGAAUGUGCAAUCCCUGGCUUCGAUCCCCAGGCCACAGCAUUGCCGUGAGCUGUGCUGUAUGUCACAGAUGUGGCUCAGACCCCGCGUUGCUGUGGCUGUGUUGUAGGCGGGCGGCUCUAGCUCCAGUUCAACCCCUAGCCUGGGAACCUCCAUAUGCCAUGGGUGUAGCCCUAAAAAGACAAAAAGAAAGAUCAAGACUCAAGUGAAGAGACUGUCCACUGAUGGCUUUGAAGAAUGAGAGGCCAGGCAGCAAGGAACAUGGGCAGCUUCUAGGAGCUGAGAGUGGCCCAAAGUAGCCAACAAAAUGUGGCCAUUUCCUAUAGCCUUAAGGAAAUGAAUUCUUCCAACACUCUGAGGGUGCUUGAAGAUGCUUAAACUUCCCCAGCCGAGUCUCUUAUGAGACCACAGCCCAGCCAAUACCCGGAUUUCGUCCUGUUAAGAGCUUUAUAUUGGGAGCCCAGCUAAGCAAACUGUGCCCACACUGCUGACCCAUGGAAACUAAGACAGAAAAUGUGUGUUGUCAGUAGUUCCUG